rnacentral:rRNA from 1 species
AUUGAACGCUGGCGGCAGGCUUAACACAUGCAAGUCGAGCGGGGGGAGGUAGCUUGCUACCGGACCUAGCGGCGGACGGGUGAGUAAUGCUUAGGAAUCUGCCUAUUAGUGGGGGACAACAUCUCGAAAGGGAUGCUAAUACCGCAUACGUCCUACGGGAGAAAGCAGGGGAUCUUCGGACCUUGCGCUAAUAGAUGAGCCUAAGUCGGAUUAGCUAGUUGGUGGGGUAAAGGCCUACCAAGGCGACGAUCUGUAGCGGGUCUGAGAGGAUGAACCGCCACACUGGGACUGAGACACGGCCCAGACUCCGACGGGAGGCAGCAGUGGGGAAUAUUGGACAAUGGGGGGAACCCUGAUCCAGCCAUGCCGCGUGUGUGAAGAAGGCCUUAUGGUUGUAAGGCACUUUAAGCGAGGAGGAGGCUACUUUAGUUAAUACCUAGAGAUAGUGGACGUUACUCGCAGAAUAAGCACCGGCUAACUCUGUGCCAGCCGCCGCAGUAA